UGUUCGUCUCGUUUUUGAGGUUUGCGAUGUUUUUUCAACCACCAGACGAUAAAGACAAACAGCCACAAUCACAACCAACAAAAUCUCGGAAACGCUCCCGACGGAAGGGAAAACGGAAAGCGUCAUUAGCGAAUAACUUAAAGAAUUUCAAGAAGAAAAACGGGUUUGUAGAUACGAUGUCUGCUUGGGCUGAGAGCUUCACGGUUGCAGCCACUUGGCAGUUGAAACACCAGUUGGCCUAUUGGAAAGCACGAGCUAAGUCUUUGGAAUACGAGAAUAACGUACUGCACGAUGUUAUUCGGAAAAAUUGUUUUAAAUCUUUCCCUACAACGUGUGAAACUGAUCAAGCAGAAGCCCAUGUACAAUACGGAUCAAGCCAGCAAAAUCAUGAGAAUUUAUCAGUAUCACCAGAAAGCGAGGAAGAAUUGGAAUCAAAUGACGACAAUAUGACUCUAGAAGAAAAUAGUGAAGAUGAAGAAUUGGAAGUUAGUGAAGAAUGGAUUGAAUUUUUAAAACAGAAUGCUAAAUAUAAAGAAGAAGCAAGACUCGAAAGAGAGCGUUUGAAGGCCAAAAUGGCGGAGAUUUCCGUCACUGAUCAACUAGAAGCUGGCCCAUCGGGCCCUCCAAAAAAUAAAACUGAAGAACUACAAGAGUUAUAUGGGGAAAAAUGGAAAAGGAUAGCAGCCAUAGAAAUGUCGGUACAGUCGCAAUUUAUAAGUAAUAGUGAUAGGAGUAAACCUAUGUACUGGCCCAAUAUACCUUUUAAUUUUAGCUAGAAUUAGGUUUGCUCCCCAAGGAGAUUGUCGUGGAGAUCCUUGGGGGAGGCCUAUGCCCAGCAGUGGGCAUUGUACGGCUGAUGAUGAUGAGGUUUGCUCCCGGAAAAAUCAUCUUUAAGCUCAAAUAUUAUAGUAACAUAAGCAGUCUACAUAAGUCCUACUGCUGGGGAAAGGUCUCCUCAACCAACCAGAGGGUGUAUAUAUUGAACUGCCUUAUCCCUCAUGUAGUGGUUAUUCUGGCUGAUAUAGUUAUUAAUUGUGCUCUUUAAAUGUUUGUAUGUAAGUUUGCCUAUGCCCAGCAGUGGGCGU
rnacentral:misc_RNA from 1 species